rnacentral:tRNA from 1 species
GGAGAGAUGCCGGAGCGGGCCAGUCUCGAAAACUGGCUUAGGGCAACGCGACCGCGGGUUCAAAUCCCCCCGUCUCUCCACC